AACGAACGCUGGCGGCAGGCUUAACACAUGCAAGUCGAACGCCCCGCAAGGGGAGUGGCAGACGGGUGAGUAACGCGUGGGAAUCUACCCAGAUCUUCGGAACAACUGAGGGAAACUUCAGCUAAUACCGGAUACGCCCUACGGGGGAAAGAUUUAUCGGUUCUGGAUGAGCCCGCGUUGGAUUAGCUAGUUGGUGGGGUAAUGGCCUACCAAGGCGACGAUCCAUAGCUGGUCUGAGAGGAUGAUCAGCCACACUGGGACUGAGACACGGCCCAGACUCCUACGGGAGGCAGCAGUGGGGAAUAUUGGACAAUGGGCGCAAGCCUGAUCCAGCCAUGCCGCGUGAGUGAUGAAGGCCUUAGGGUUGUAAAGCUCUUUCAGUGGGGACGAUAAUGACGGUACCCACAGAAGAAGCCCCGGCUAACUUCGUGCCAGCCGCCGCCGUAACAC
rnacentral:rRNA from 1 species